UACGUAGGGGGCGAGCGUUGUCCGGAAUCAUUGGGCGUAAAGAGCUCGUAGGCGGUUCAGCAAGUCGGCUGUGAAAUUCCGAGGCUCAACCUCGGAACUGCAGUCGAUACUGCUGUGACUCGAGUCCGGUAGAGGAGAAUGGAAUUCCCGGUGUAGCGGUGAAAUGCGCAGAUAUCAGGAGGAACACCAGCGGCGAAGGCGGCGCUCUGGGCCGGAACUGACGCUGAGGAGCGAAAGCGUGGGUAGCAAACAGG
rnacentral:rRNA from 1 species